UUCUGCUUUCCUCUCUCUUCACAAGAAAUUUUUUAGAAUUGGAGACAAAACCAAGAAGAGGAAACCUUUGCAACCCUUCCUCACAGAAGAAUGUAUUUUUUGGUGAUCCUGACUUUUCUAGGACGAAUUACUGGUGAGACUUUCUUUCAUCAUUAUGAAAAUGGAAAUUUCACACUUACGUGCAAUGAAACAGUGGCUAAUGGGAAGAAGGAAACAGUUUGGUAUGAAACUGAAGAAACUCUGCAAAAAUUCCAAGUAAUCAAAUGCAGUAAUCAACAGCCCAAAGUAAUCAAUGGACCAAACAAAUGCUCUGAUAAAACAAAGUGUACAAACCAAUUAUCAAAUUCUGCUUCCAGAGGCGGUGGGGUAUUUGCAUGUGAGCAAUUUACAAAUACUGGAACAUCACAGACUUGCUCACUUUUUACCAAUGUGACUCACUGCAGACAUUAUAACUUUUUUAUUGUGGUGAUAAUAAACCUGACUGCAGAUAAGGAGACAUUUGAGACCAUUCCUGCAAAAUCACACAGUAAUCAGUUAGUACAAGAAGAAAGUAACAUCACUCUCUCUUGUGAAUUUCAAAUGAAGCGCUCAGGACAACCAUUUAUUAUAUAUUGGAUCAAAUAUACAGAAACAAGCAAAUGCCUGAUUUCUGUUGAGAGAGAGCUAUAUACUUUCUCAUAUAAUACACAUUGCUGUAUUGAUGAGAUGAUCAAAGGACGACUAUUGAACUAUACAAGCUUAGAUUCAGACAAGACACAUGUAGUCCAUAAUAUGACCAUCUUGAAUGUUAAUGACUCUGACAGUGGAACUUAUUUAUGUGUUGUAAAUGCCUGGUCAAGAGGUAAACAUGUGUGGAAGAUUGCAAAUAACCUUUCUAUAGAAGUGAGGACUCAAGCCAUUCCAUGUAAGUUAGAAGUUUUGUAGUUGCUCUCGAUACCAGAGUUGCCUAUAAUUUUGCCAAACUUUUGCUAUUUGGGAUAAAAUGUUCCAUGCUGGGAAAACUUCAGUGAAAAUGGUUCGGCCAUUUUUGAGAACAAUCCAUGGAAAAAUAUGCUGUAUUGCCCAUGUUAAAGAUUCUGGUGACAUUUUCUUUGAGCAGAUCUAGUGCCCCAUGCUUUGGAAUAGGGACUUGGCAUUUGGCAGGAGAGCAGCCUUCGUGUUAGCAGUGUCCCUUUUACCAUUACCAUGAAAGUCUGCCCACAUUUGGCAAAGUUAUAAGCCUUUAAAAGUCACAGUGCACAGAUGCUCAGUAGAGACUUCUUAGAUUUCACCCACUGAAUUCCCCAAUGCUCCAGCCCAAUGCUGAGUGGGACUUUCCCUGCAUUUGCAGGUCUGGGCUGCUGUGAGCCAUGCUGCAUCCAGUUCCAAGCAAUUGAACAGAGACUGAACUUCUGUGCUCUCAGUGACAUCCCUGCUGGGCCCAGGCUUCAUGUAGGAGGAAGAAUGAAGAGAUGAUAGAAGCUAGCCAGCCAGUGGUGGGAGGGUGGAGAGAGCAGAGUGUGACAAGGAGUUUGUGGAAGACUGAAUGCAGGAGGCUAGUAGAUAGGGGCGGCAGAAGAGGGAAAUGGGGACUGGGAGCUGGGGUGGGGGAGACUGGGACUGAGAGCUGGAGACAGAAAUGUGUGUGUGUGUAUGUGGGAGGAAGACACUAGAAGCCAGUAGGUGGGGGGAGACUGAGGUCAGAUGAGGAACUGGGAAGAGAUUGGGAUUGGCUGGGCAAGGUGCCUGGGACUGAGAAGCAGUGGGAUGGGGGAGGAGGAAAGGGAAGGGUCAGAGAUCUGAUGAGCCGGGAUGUGUGUGUGUGUGGGGAGAAGUGGAAAUGGCUGGGCAAAAAAUAGUGUUCUAAGGAGCCGGGAUGGGGUGGGGAAAGUGCUGUGAUUAGACAAGGAGUCUAGGGAGGGAGAAUGGGACUGGGAACCCGUGGGGAUGUGGAAGA